rnacentral:ncRNA from 1 species
CUCUGUUCCCAAAGGGUUCAGGGCAGAAGGAG